UAGGGAAUCUUCCGCAAUGGGCGAAAGCUUGACGGAGCAACGCCGCGUGAGUGAUGAAGGUCUUCGGAUCGUAAAACUCUGUUAUUAGGGAAGAACAAAUGUGUAAGUAACUAUGCACGUCUUGACGGUACCUAAUCAGAAAGCCACGGCUAACUACGUGCCAGCAGCCGCGGUAAUACGUAGGUGGCAAGCGUUAUCAGGAAUUAUUGGGCGUAAAGCGCGCGUAGGCGGUUUUUUAAGUCUGAUGUGAAAGCCAACGGCUCAACCGUGGAGGGUCAUUGGAAACUGGAAAACUUAAGUGUAGAAGAGGAAAGUGGAAUUCCAUGUGUAGCGGUGAAAUGCGCAGAGAUAUGGAGGAACACCAGUGGCGAAGGCGACUUUCUGGUCUGUAACUGACGCUGAUGUGCGAAAGCGUGGGGAUCAAACAGG
rnacentral:rRNA from 1 species